UAGAAGAUGACGAGUGGCGGACGGGUGAGUAAUGCUUGGGAACUUGCCUUUGCGAGGGGGAUAACAGUUGGAAACGACUGCUAAUACCGCAUAAUGUCUUCGGACCAAACGGGGCUUCGGCUCCGGCGCAAAGAGAGGCCCAAGUGAGAUUAGCUAGUUGGUAAGGUAACGGCUUACCAAGGCGACGAUCUCUAGCUGUUCUGAGAGGAAGAUCAGCCACACUGGGACUGAGACACGGCCCAGACUCCUACGGGAGGCAGCAGUGGGGAAUAUUGCACAAUGGGGGAAACCCUGAUGCAGCCAUGCCGCGUGUGUGAAGAAGGCCUUCGGGUUGUAAAGCACUUUCAGUUGUGAGGAAAAGUUAGUAGUUAAUACCUGCUAGCCGUGACGUUAACAACAGAAGAAGCACCGGCUAACUCCGUGCCAGCAGCCGCGGUAAUACGGAGGGUGCGAGCGUUAAUCGGAAUUACUGGGCGUAAAGCGCACGCAGGCGGUUUGUUAAGCUAGAUGUGAAAGCCCCGGGCUCAACCUGGGAUGGUCAUUUAGAACUGGCAGACUAGAGUCUUGGAGAGGGGAGUGGAAUUCCAGGUGUAGCGGUGAA
rnacentral:rRNA from 1 species